CUGGUUUGUAAACAACAGACUAGAUGUUUACCCGUGAAUUUGGCAAGUCGCAGGCAGAGGGUGCUCGGUGGCUGGGGCCUCUGAUUAAUAUCCCUCGGCCAGCAGUCUAAAUGAUGGACCCUCUGAGACAGUCUCUAAAGGGUCCCUUUGCCCAGCAGACCUCUAAACAACAUCAGCUUCACCAUCUUGUGCUUCCCACAUGAGGUCCUGCUACCUCCAGCAUUAAUUGGAUACUCAGCCCCCAAUUAAGGAUGUUGCCCAAAAGGCCACCAUGAAAAACAAGGCCGUUUUGCACUUGUUUCAGUGGGACUUCAUUAGACGGCUGGUGCUGAGGUCCUUGGGGAGGCAGGGACACACAAACACUCUGGCUGAGUCUGAGCAAGGAGAGCUACGCACAGGAAGCCAGGCUCAGACGCACUGUUUGCCUGGCUUUCUGAUUUCCAACAAGGGGGCGGAGCGGUGGCUCUGUGGCUAAGGAUCUGCGCCUGUGACCAGAAGGUUGCCAGUUCAAAUCCCGCGGCCGGCAGAGGAAUCCUACUCAGUUGGGCCCCUGAGCAAGGCCCUUAACCCCAACUGCUCCAGGGGCGCCGUACAAUGGCAGACCCUGCGCUCUGACCCCAAGCUUCUCUCCCUGUCUCUGUGUCUGUGUCUCCCUGGAGAAAAAAAGCUGGGGUAUGCGAAAAGACGCAUUCCUAAUGCAAGAAAUUGUAUAGGGCUAAUAAAGA
rnacentral:lncRNA from 1 species